AUUGAACGCUGGCGGCAGGCCUAACACAUGCAAGUCGAGCGAGCGGCGGACGGGUGAGUAAUGUCUGGGAAACUGCCAGAUGGAGGGGGAUAACGACUGUAAACGGUAACUAAUACCGCAUACCAACGGAUAUGACCAGAUGUGAAUAGCUAGUAGGGGGGGUAACGACGCACCUAGGCGACGCUCCCUAGCUGGUCUGCGAGGAUGACCAGCAACACUGGAACUGAGACACGGUCCAGACUCCUACGGGAGGCAGCAGUGGGGAAUAUUGAACAAUGGGAGCAAGCCUGAUGCAGCCAGGCCGCGUGGAUGAAGAAGGCCUUCGGGUUGUAAAGUACUUUCAGCGGGGAGGCGUUACCCGCAGAAGAAGCACCGGCUAACUCCGUGCCAGCAGCCGCGGUAAUUC
rnacentral:rRNA from 1 species